rnacentral:rRNA from 1 species
GACGAACGCUGGCGGCAUGCCUAAUACAUGCAAGUCGAGCGGACCUUGCUUGGGAGCUUGCUUCCAAGCAAGGUUAGCGGCGGACGGGUGAGUAACACGUAGGCAACCUGCCCUCAAGACUGGGAUAACAUUCGGAAACGAAUGCUAAGACCGGAUAAGCAGUUAUCUCGCAUGAGAAGACUGGGAAACACGGAGCAAUCUGGGGUUUGAGGAUGGGCCUGCGGCGCAUUAGCUAGUUGGUGAGGUAACGGCCCACCAAGGCGACGAUGCGUAGCCGACCUGAGAGGGUGAACGGCCACACUGGGACUGAGACACGGCCCAGACUCCUACGGGAGGCAG